rnacentral:rRNA from 1 species
GAACGAACGCUGGCGGCGACGUCUAAGCAUGCAAGUCGAACGGCAAGAGGUAGCAAUACCUCCUAGAGUGGCGGACUGGUGAGUAACACGUGGGUGACAUACCCUCAGGAUGGGGAUAGCUAUUAGAAAUAGUAGAUAAUACCGAAUACGAGCACAGGGGUUAGAGAUCUGUGAGGAAAGGAGCUAAGGCUCCGCUGAAGGAAUGGCCUGCGGCCCAUUAGCUAGUUGGUGAGGUAAGAGCCCACCAAGGCGAUGAUGGGUAUCCGGCCUUAGAGGGUGAACGGACACAUUGGGACUGAGAUACGGCCCAGACUCCUACGGGAGGCAGCAGCUAAGAAUAUUCCGCAAUGGACGAAAGUCUGACGGAGCGACGCCGCGUGGAUGAGGAAGGCCGGAAGGUUGUAAAAUCCUUUUGAAACUGAAGAAUAAGCGUUGUAGGGAAUGACAGCGUGGUGACAGUAGGUUUUGAAUAAGCAACGGCUAAUUACGUGCCAGCCGCAGC